UCAGAUUUGGAUAUAAUUUGAACAGUAGGCUCAUAUUAGUAUGUUUGUUUUUCUGUUAUUUCCCCAGAUUUCUCUUCCCAGGAUCUUCCCUUGAAGGCGAUGCCGCCAAGAAAGCGGGGAAAAAGGGGGUGACCACCGCUACCAAGCAGCAGCAACCGCAACCGCCCGACCCGCCUGGACCUGACGCUCCCGUGCAGGAGAAGCUGCGGUGGCUUGCUGACCAAGAGACUGGGAUUCCUCAUCUGAAGUGGUUUGGAGUGGACGGGGAGUACAAUGUCAUGGUCAUUGAUCUUCUUGGUCCAAGUCUGUAAGACUUAUUCAACUAUUGCAACAGUACUUAUGCUUGCUGAUCAGAUGAUUGCUAGGGUAGAGUACAUGCACUUGAGGGGCUUUCUUCAUCGUGAUAUAAAGCCGGAUAACUUUCUUGUGGGUUUAGGCCAUAGAGCAAGCCAGAAUUUACUUCCUUGGAAAUGUUCGGGCGGUCUUAUUCCACUAUCGCAAAGAUUAUUAGAGGUG